rnacentral:lncRNA from 1 species
GACGCGUCCACACUUAGCUUUCCUCUCUUUAAGAGACUCAUCACAGUCAUGGACUCACGAGGAGGCGUAAGAGAAGACAUCAUCGCCGGUUCUUUAACUUACUACACAAGAAAACACUUACCCGGUUUAAAACGACGCCGUGGAGGACCUGAAGCUAGCGGUCGUUUCAGCAGCUCAGGGACGGUACUCUCCGAAGAAGAGCAGAAGCACUUGCUCGAAGAGAUCCAAGACCUUCUCCCCGUGCAAAAAGGUUUAGUCCCGACCAAGUUCUUCGUCGACAUGCUCAGAGUCGCCAAGAUUCUGAAGGCUAGCCCUAGCUGCGUAGCUAACUUGGAGAAGAGGAUAGGGAUGCAGCUCGACCAGGCGGCGUUGGAGGAUCUUGUGAUGCCUAGCUUUACUCAUACGAUGGAGACUCUAUACGAUGUUGACUCUGUGCAGAGGAUCUUGGAUCAUUUUCUUGGUACUGAUCAGAUUAUGACUGUUGGUGGUGGUGUUGGCUCUCCUUGCUCUUCGGUGGAUGAUGGGAACUUGAUGGGAUCACCGCAGAGGAUAACGCCGAUGAUGGCGGUUUCGAAGCUGAUUGAUGGGUAUCUUGCUGAAGUGGCUCCUGAUGUUAAUCUCAAGCUUCCGAAGUUUCAAACCUUAGCUGGUUCUGUUCCUGAGUGUGCUAGGCUCUUGGAUGAUGGACUAUAUCGCGCAAUAGACAUUUACUUAAAGGUAAGAAUUGUUUUUUAUAGCGCUGAACUGAAGUAAGACCGAACCGACCAAACUAAAUUUUUCUGUUUUCGGUUUAACAUCCGGUAGAACCAAUAAACCAAUCUGCCCAUUUUUAAAAUUUUAAUCGGUUUUUGGUUCGGUUCCGCAAGCAAGAACCGAUCAGUUUGAAACAUAUUUAACCAAAAAAACUGAAUAAACAGAAAUAACCUGAAACAAACUGAAUAAACCCGGAAAAUUAAAAUUUACAUAACCGAGUUUUUGUUUUUACCAAAUUAACCGAAUGAACCGAUAUGUUAAACAAAUUUUGGUUCAAUUCGGAAUAAAUAAUAAUACCGAAAACCUACCCGAAUAAUCCGAAUUCCGAACCAAAUAAAACCAAAAUAUAGUUCGGUUUCCAAAACCGAAAAACCGAAUAAACCAACCCAAAAAACCGAAAAAAACUAAUGUCCAACUCUACUGUUUUAUUUAACAAAGACUUAUUAAGUUGCUUCUUUUAUUCAUUUGAUGAUCUGCAGCAUCAUCCGUGGUUAGCGGAAACAGAGAGAGAGAAUCUUUGCAGGUUGUUAGACUGCCAGAAGCUCUCUUUAGAAGCUUGCACACACGCGGCGCAGAACGACAGAUUACCACUAAGAGUAAUCGUCCAAGUCCUCUUCUUUGAGCAGCUUCAGCUUAGAACCUCUGUAGCUGGAUGCUUCCUGGUUUCAGACAACCUCGAUGGUGGGUCAAGGCAGUUAAGAAGCGGCGGAUUUGCAGGAGGAUCAGCCGAAGGAGGAGGAGGAGGAUGGGCAAGUGCAGUAAGAGAGAAUCAAGUCUUGAAAGUUGGGAUGGACAGUAUGAGGAUGAGGGUUUGCGAGUUGGAGAAUGACUUGUAUGGUAUCUAUAAAAUGGUCUCUACGGAGAGGGAGCAUAUUAUAACCUUACUCGCACGCCAAAGAUUAGUGAGAAGGAUUGGAUUCUUUGAGUAAAGAUUAGGACGUAAUUAAUCAAACUUUCACACUUUAUGUAAUGUUAGCUACAAACAAAAAUGUUUGCUAAUUUCAAGAAUCAACACAAUGAGUAUGUUUGAAGAUACAAAGGAGUGAAGGACCCUCCAAGUGCAUGUGCUCAUAAUAAUAAUAAUUAAAAAAAUCUUCUAAUAUAAAUUUCGAGAUUUUCAAAUGUCCACCUUUUAUUACACUAUAUGGAUUAAAAUAAAGUUUCUAGAUUCUAAAGCAACCAAUACAAAAACACAAAAUAUUAACUAUAUUUAAUUUAAUUUUACUUUUUCCUUAUUACCAGACAUCAAUCAAUUGGCUAUAUGGUCCCCCUUACAUGUAUAUUCUCGUAUAAAGCAACAAGAACUGGUAAGUUACUUCUCUGCUUAGCUGUUCUUGUCUAGCUGGGUUUUUGGGGGUUCAGCUUCUUUCUUUCUUUUCAUUACUUUGCUGGGGGAAAAGGUUUUAAUUUGGUGUUACAGAUAAGAUUAUUUAAGAUUCUGAGUUUCUUUUAGUGGGGGGCUUUGGCCAAGGGGAUCUCUCUAUAUUAUUACACAUUCCGUGUGAUUCUUUUGGGCGUUGAGGUUUUAAUUUCUGGAAGAUUAAUGUGAGCUACUGAGUGUGGAGAAAGGAGGCAGCUUUUAAGUGUUUGUUCAAAUGUCUGAGUGAAAUUGAUCUGGGUAUUAAGGGAUAGAUCCAAAGUCUCUUUCUUUCUGAGAAAAUUAGCAGUUUUUUUUUUUUUUGGUUUGGUUGUUGUACGUUAGGGUUUUUGGAGGCUUAGCUAUUGUAAGUUUCUUUGUUGGAUUCUGUUGAGUGAGAGAAAGUAUGGCUUGCAUGAAGCUGGGAUCCAAAUCUGAUGCUUUCCAGAGACAAGGCCAGGCUUGGUAUAUUCACUUGCUCUCUACUUGUUUUAUAGUCUAUCUUUGUUCCAUUUUUUGCCCCUUCUUGAUUCUCCUCCUAAUGUCUCAUACUGGAUUUGAGACCUUUGGUCUCAGCAUUACUGAGUCAAAGUUUCCUCCUUUGUCUUCUUCUUUUUUGUGCUCAAAUAUUACAGGUUUUGCACAACUGGACUUCCAAGUGAUGUUGUCGUUGAAGUUGGGGAAAUGUCUUUCCAUCUCCACAAGGUAAACUUGAUUUGCUUGCUUGAACAAGACAACACUCUCUUCUUGAUGAAUCCUUACACUUACUGUAGAAACCAGUGUGUACCAAGCCUCCUCUUUGAGAAAAAAAAAUAAAGUUUUUCUUAUAGGCUUUUUGAUUCUGUGCUAUGUGCAGUUUCCUUUGCUCUCUAGAAGUGGAGUCAUGGAAAGAAACAUCGCAGAGGCAUCUCAAGAAGCAGAUGAUGACAAAUGUCUCAUUCAAAUCUCUGAUCUUCCCGGCGGAGACAAAACCUUCGAGCUAAUCGCCAAGUUCUGCUACGGUGUAAAACUCGAACUCACCGCUUCCAACGUUGUACACCUCAGAUGCGCAGCUGAGCAUCUCGAAAUGACUGAAGAGAACGCCGAAGGAAACCUAAUCUCCCAAACCGAAACUUUCCUCAACCAAGUCGUCCUCAAAAGCUGGAAAGACUCAAUAAAAGCCCUCCAAACCUGCAGCGAGGUCUCCCACUACGCUGAGGAGUUAAACAUCACCAAGAAAUGCAUAGAGUCGCUAGCCGUGAGAGCAUCAACAACAGACCCGAACCUUUUCGGAUGGCCGGUCGUGGACCCCAUGCAGAGUCCAGGUGGCAGCGUGUUAUGGAACGGCAUAAGCACGGGUGCUAGAGUUAAACACACUAGCUCAGAUUGGUGGUACGAGGACGCGUCCACACUUAGCUUUCCUCUCUUUAAGAGACUCAUCACAGUCAUGGACUCACGAGGAGGCGUAAGAGAAGACAUCAUCGCCGGUUCUUUAACUUACUACACAAGAAAACACUUACCCGGUUUAAAACGACGCCGUGGAGGACCUGAAGCUAGCGGUCGUUUCAGCAGCUCAGGGACGGUACUCUCCGAAGAAGAGCAGAAGCACUUGCUCGAAGAGAUCCAAGACCUUCUCCCCGUGCAAAAAGGUUUAGUCCCGACCAAGUUCUUCGUCGACAUGCUC